rnacentral:lncRNA from 1 species
GAUUGCCAGCUACCAAACGUAACCUUAGACUCAAAGUCUUCAAAAUCAAAGAUAAAAGAAAAAGGGGUCGAUUCCAAAAUCAAUCCAGAUUUGAUUCUCAAACCAUAAGGAACAAGAAAUCUAUUAAUAAAAGAUUUUGCUUCAUUUGUGACCAGGACAACUAUCUUUCUCAUCAAUGGUUCUUCCAAAAGAAGGAGAAGGUUGUGACCA